UACGUAGGGGGCAAGCGUUGUUCGGAAUUACUGGGCGUAAAGGGCGCGUAGGCGGCAUGGCAAGUCGGGAGUGAAAGCCCGGGGCUCAACCCCGGAACUGCUUUCGAAACUGCCAAGCUAGAGUGCGGAAGAGGCAACUGGAAUUCCCAGUGUAGCGGUGAAAUGCGUAGAUAUUGGGAAGAACACCGGAUGCGAAGGCGGGUUGCUGGGCCGACACUGACGCUGAUGCGCGAAAGCCAGGGGAGCGAACGGG
rnacentral:rRNA from 1 species